rnacentral:rRNA from 1 species
AACGAACGCUGGCGGCAGGCUUAACACAUGCAAGUCGAACGAGAUCUUCGGAUCUAGUGGCAGACGGGUGAGGAACACGUGGGAACAUCCCUUUCAGUUCGGAAUAACGUUGGGAAACUAACGCUAAUACCGGAUACGUCCUUCGGGAGAAAGAUUUAUCUCUGAAAGAUUGGCCCGCGUCUGAUUAGCUAGUUGUUGAGGUAAUGGCUCACCAAGGCUACGAUCAGUAGCUGAUCUGAGAGGAUGAUCAGCCACAUUGGGACUGAGACACGGCCCAAACUCCUACGGGAGGCAGCAGUGGGGAAUAUCGGACAAUGGGCGCAAGCCUGAUCCAGCCAUGCCGCGUGAGUGAUGACGGCCUUCGGGUUGUAAAGCUCUUUUGUCCGGGAAGAUAAUGACUGUACCGGAAGAAUAAGCCCCGGCAAACUUCGUGCCAGCCGCCGCCGUAA